GGAAAGAUGAAAAGAACUUUGAAAAGAGAGUUAAAUAGUGCGUGAAAUUGUUGAAAGGGAAACGAUUGAAGUCAGUCGUACCUGCGGAUAAUCAGCCUUUAGGAUGCGAUUUUGUGGAGUGUGAGGAGCUAAUCGCCUUCAUGCCUGUAUAUUCGUGUACUUGGGGUGUACUUAUUCGUGUGGUAAGUUAACAUCAAUUUUGGUCGUCAUAAAAUGACUGGAGGAAUGUAGCUUCGAUCUCGUAUUGAAGUGUUAUAGCCUUUGGUAGAUGUGAUUAUCGGGAUUGAGGAUUGCAACGGAUACCCUUCGGGGCUACUUGUCUGAUCUCUGAUCGUUGCUCUGGUGCCGAAAGCGUGCUUACGGUUAUCAAAGUCGAUGGUCAAUAGGUUAGAAUGGGUUAAAUUCGUUAAGGAUGUUGACGUAAUGGCUUUAAACGACCCGUCUUGAAACACGGACCA
rnacentral:rRNA from 1 species